UACGUAGGGUGCGAGCGUUGUCCGGAAUUAUUGGGCGUAAAGAGCUUGUAGGCGGUUUGUCGCGUCUGCUGUGAAAAUCCGGGGCUCAACUCCGGACUUGCAGUGGGUACGGGCAGGCUAGAGUGUGGUAGGGGAGACUGGAAUUCCUGGUGUAGCGGUGGAAUGCGCAGAUAUCAGGAGGAACACCGAUGGCGAAGGCAGGUCUCUGGGCCACUACUGACGCUGAGAAGCGAAAGCGUGGGGAGCGAACAGG
rnacentral:rRNA from 1 species